CAACCCUCAGGCCCUGUUUGCCUGGUGUUGGGGCGCCGCGCACCCUCAGCGGGCGCGGGCCCCGAAAGUCAGUGGCGGGCUCGCCAGGACUCCGAGCGCAGUAAUUUUCUCUCGCUGUGGAGCGCCUGGUGGGUUACCAGCCGUAAAACACCCCAAAUUCUAAA
rnacentral:misc_RNA from 1 species